rnacentral:tRNA from 1 species
CCCUUUGACAAGCCUCACCACCCUCGCUAAUAUAACGGCGGACUGUUAAUCCGUAUGUCACUGGUUCGAGUCCAGUCAGAGGAGCCA